UUGCAUCUCCAUAGGAUUUUGGCAUCCAGCUCCUGCUGGUUGAGCUGAAGUGACUUUCCCAAGGGCAUCCAGGUUUCCUGGGGCAUAAAAGAGAGGGGACCCCAAAUAUCUCAGUUAACCUUAAACUCCCAUAGCACCCUGUCUCCUCCUUAGCCUACUUAACAGGCAACAGCUCAGGGUACCUGUUAGUGCAAAGCCUGCUCAUCAACACGUUUGUAUUGGUUUAACACCAAAGUUGGUGCAUUUCUGGGGUAAUCACAAAAACGCGUUGGUUUCUUGUUUCUCUCAAUGACAUUCUGAUUUUAAGAUGGCAAUGUCGUGACUAGAAGGGGCCUGCUGAAUAAACAGCCAUCGCUUCUCUUUGUGAAGAGAUUGUUUUGUUGUGCUUACAGAAAGGACUUCUGCUGCCAUGUGUUGCCUCUUAGAAGCAAAAGGAAUAAUAAGCAACAAAGAAGUCUUUAGAUAUGGUGCCUAUUUGGAAGGAAAAAUCAGGGGUUUUUGCUCAAGCCUCCAGAAAUUUGGGCAACAGAGGCAGCUGUCGUUGGUGUUGGAAAUGUCUGGUGGAGAUUUUGGCAACUGAUGUCCUGAGUAAUCCUGGCCAAGUCAUCUAAAGCCCGUGGGCCGUACUUUAUUAGGCUGAGCAGCUCUGGGCCUGCAAGAAAGAGGAGGACUUUCUCAUCCCGAUGAGAAUGGGGCAGUGAAUGGAUUCCAAGUGUUUACUCAGCAUUUGUCUCGUGCUUUAUCAAAGGCAUGAGGAGGAGGUGCCGACAGACCUUUUGUCCCGCUGAUGUGUUAUGACAAUGUUCCAUGAAUAUGCAGAAUGGCAGAAGGGAUUAGAGCCAGUACAAUUCCCCUCCGGCGCUGCUUUUUUUUCUUUUUUUUUUUUUUUUUUCUUUUUCCUUUUUUUAUUUUUGCCUGGGAUGUUCAGGGGUUUAAGGGUGACCUGCUCGCAGUCAGGGCACUAAACAUCAGAUUUCCCCGCAGAUAGGGGUGUAAAAAUCCCACACUUGUCCAAAGCUGUUAGCAUCUGGCUCGAAGGUUGGGCUGCCGUGGUCACUGGCUGCUCUUUAUGAAGCUUGGGCUGGCAGGAGCUGCCUGGCUGAGAGCUUUGUGUUUCAGGAGACAGGGGGAUAUUGGGGCGUAAUUAAAACCUGAGUUGAUCAGUGACACGUGAAACCCAGGCCGAUGGUGAUGUGGCUGCUGCUUUUCUCUUGGUGUGGGCUGGCAGCGGUGCCUCGCCGUGCUCUGCUGCUGCUUCCCCAAGUCCUGGUCCAGGCUGCCAGGCCAAGGGAUAACUGCUGGUAGGUUUUUUGCCUGUUGUUUGCAAGAAUUUGGGUGUCGUUCAGUGGUGCUGGCAUCAGGCAGUGAUGCUCUCCAUGCUCUGAGCGCUUCCCUUUGUCUGUAUGGGUUAAUGAGUUAAUGCAGCUGUGAGGCAGGUGGUGGACAUUAUCUCCCUUUUCAAUACGAUGCUGCAGCAGGUAGGAGGGAGCAGGCACGGUGCUGGAGCCCUGGGCAUAAAACCAAGCUUUCCUCUUGUGUUUCUAAUCCUUCUUCUCCAAGUGAUGCUGCUGAGCGAUGGCCAGCAGCCGUGAGCCCGUCCUGGUUGUGAUGUG
rnacentral:lncRNA from 1 species